rnacentral:ncRNA from 1 species
UAGGAAGCGAUGAUCGGGAGAGUACAGCGUUAGCAAGAUCACCAGAGAGGAAUCUCAAAGCUGAGAAGAUUCCGUUCUUGAGCCGCUGGAAAUGCCCCCGUGAGCUGUUCGACCGAAACCCAAGGGGAGUAGGGAGAGCCGGAACCCACCGUUACUGGGUUGAGCGGACGAUAAGUGCCUUGGUGGGCUUUAGUCAAACAGAGUGGAACCGCGGUCAUCACCGUCUCUGUA